GGGAGAUUUAUUUUUUAUAUUUUAUAUUUAUAUAAUUUAUAUAUCAAUAGUUCGUAUCUCCACGAACAAUGACAGAAUGACGGAGUUUCUUUAAAAUACAAUGAAAUUUCACUCAAAAUUCUGUUUGUUUCAAAUUGGAAGUUUAAAAUGGCAAUAAAAACUCUAUAUAAAAUAUGAAAAAAUUAACUGUCUUGAAUUAUUUUGUCGGGCGGUACAUUUAUAUUGUAUAACGAGAAAUAAAACGUUUUCACGAGGAUUUUAAAAUUCAGUCGGGCGGUGAUGAGAAUCAAGGAAUUUAUUUUAUGUUGGGCAGUUGGGAGCAGCUUGGGAGUGGCUAAUUUUGAAUAUUUACUUAAUUAAUGCAUCUAUAAAUAGCGUUGAUGCUUCAGGGGCGGUAGUUCAUUUACACCCAGUUUUGCGGCAGGCGGUAUUUCCUACGUACCGCCUGCCAUGCAGGCUAACAGUUUUGCGGCAGGCGGUAUUUCCUACGUACCGCCUGCCAUGCAGGCUAUUGUCGCUACGGACACGUGACACUUAGUGUGAAGAGUCAGUUGACAAUUCCCAUUAUAGACUAAUUUUAGAACUAGGCAAGGAGAUGCAAAUAAAUCACCACAGCUAGAAAGAGC